GACGAACGCUGGCGGCGUGCCUAAUACAUGCAAGUAGAACGCUGAAGCUUGGUGCUUGCACCGAGCGGAUGAGUUGCGAACGGGUGAGUAACGCGUAGGUAACCUGCCUGGUAGCGGGGGAUAACUAUUGGAAACGAUAGCUAAUACCGCAUAAGAGUAGAUGUUGCAUGACAUUUGCUUAAAAGGUGCAAUUGCAUCACUACCAGAUGGACCUGCGUUGUAUUAGCUAGUUGGUGAGGUAACGGCUCACCAAGGCAACGAUACAUAGCCAACCUGAGAGGGUGAUCGGCCACACUGGGACUGAGACACGGCCCAGACUCCUACGGGAGGCAGCAGUAGGGAAUCUUCGGCAAUGGACGGAAGUCUGACCGAGCAACGCCGCGUGAGUGAAGAAGGUUUUCGGAUCGUAAAGCUCUGUUGUAAGAGAAGAACGAGUGUGAGAGUGGAAAGUUCACACUGUGACGGUAUCUUACCAGAAAGGGACGGCUAACUACGUG
rnacentral:rRNA from 1 species